rnacentral:tRNA from 1 species
GAAGGUAUAGCUCAGUGGUAGGGCACAUGUCCAGCAUGCACAGGGUCCUGGGUUCAAUCCCCAGUACCUGCA